GUGGUGAAAAAUGGAAUAAAAAGAUUUCCAAAAUACAACCUAUUGAUUGUUCAUAUGUAAUAGAUGCAAAAUAUUGCAUUAAAACUAAUGGCAUAUCUGGAGGUCAAAUUAUAACCAAAAGGAAUUAUUAACGGUUAGUGGAAAAAAAAAUACACACUUUGAAAAUAUGUAGAAAAAGUAUCAUAUUGCCUUUAAUUAAAUGCUACUUAACAGCACUUUUCACUGGAGUAUCAACAGCUUCUUGUGAGGCCUUAUUAUCUACACUCAAAAGGGUUUUAUCAAACACCAGAGAUUGAAAAAACAAUAAUGAAAAUAAUAA